rnacentral:rRNA from 1 species
UACGGAGGAUCCAAGCGUUAUCCGGAUUUAUUGGGUUUAAAGGGUGCGUAGGCGGAUAAGUAAGUCAGUGGUGAAAGCCUGCAGCUUAACUGUAGAAUUGCCAUUGAUACUGCUUGUCUUGAGGACAGUUGAGGUGGGCGGAAUAUGACAUGUAGCGGUGAAAUGCUUAGAUAUGUCAUAGAACACCGAUUGCGAAGGCAGCUCGCUAAACUGUAUCUGACGCUGAGGCACGAAAGCGUGGGGAUCAAACAGG